GAAAUGCGAUAAGUAAUGUGAAUUGCAGAAUUCAGUGAAUCAUCGAAUCUUUGAACGCACCUUGCGCUCCUUGGUAUUCCGAGGAGCAUGCCUGUUUGAGUGUCGUGUAAUUCUCAAUCCCGUCUGGUUUUGAACCGGACGUGGCUUGGAUUUGGGAGUCUGCUGUGCCCUAACGGGUUUGGCUCUCCUUGAAUGCAUUAGCUCGGUCACGUAGUUGCCCGACGGUUCACGGUGUGAUAGUUUAACUUCAUCGCCGUUCUGACCGCUCGGUGCCUGUGCUUGCCGGCUUCUAAUCCGUGUCUUUGGGCACAUUUACUUUGACGCUUGACCUCAAAUCAGGUAGGACUACCCGCUGAACUUAA
rnacentral:misc_RNA from 1 species